AGUGAACGCUGGCGGUAGGCCUAACACAUGCAAGUCGAACGGCAGCACAGUAAGAGCUUGCUCUUACCGGUGGCGAGUGGCGGACGGGUGAGGAAUACAUCGGAAUCUACUUUUUCGUGGGGGACAACGUAGGGACACUUACGCUACUACCGCAUAUGACCUACGGGUGAAUGCAGGGGAUCUUCGGACCUUUCGUGUCUCAAUGAGCCGACGUCGGAUUAGCUAGUUGGCGGGGUAAAGGCCCACCAAGGCGACGAUCCGUAGCUGGUCUGAGAGGAUGAUCGGCCACACUGGAACUGAGACACGGUCCAGACUCCUACGGGAGGCAGCAGUAGGGAAUAUUGGACAAUGGGCGCAAGCCUGACCCAGCCAUACCGCGUGGGUGAAGAAGGCCUUCGGGUCGUAAAGCCCUUUUGUUGGGAAAGAAAAGCAGCAGGUUAAUACCCCGCCGUUCUGACGGUACCCAAAGAAUAAGCACCGGCUAACUUCGUG
rnacentral:rRNA from 1 species